AACGACGCUGGCGGCAUGCCUAACACAUGCAAGUCGAACGAAGCCUUCGGGCUUAGUGGCGCACGGGUGCGUAACGCGUGGGAACCUACCAUCAGGUUCGGAAUAACAGUUAGAAAUGACUGCUAAUACCGGAUAAUGUCUUCGGACCAAAGAUUUAUCGCCUUUUGAUGGGCCCGCGUAAGAUUAGGUAGUUGGUGGGGUAAAGGCCUACCAAGCCGACGAUCUUUAGCUGGUCUGAGAGGAUGAUCAGCCACACUGGGACUGAGACACGGCCCAGACUCCUACGGGAGGCAGCAGUGGGGAAUAUUGGACAAUGGGCGAAAGCCUGAUCCAGCAAUGCCGCGUGAGUGAUGAAGGCCUUAGGGUUGUAAAGCUCUUUACUGGGGAUGAUAAUGACAGUACCCAGAGAAUAAGCUCCGGCUAACUCCGUG
rnacentral:rRNA from 1 species